GGAGCUAGAGCCGGGCCGCCGCGGUGUGGAGAAGCUGCGUCGGGGCGCACAGGUUAUUAGAAAUGGCUACUCCACAGUCAGUUUUCGUCUUUGCAAUCUGCAUUUUAAUGAUAACAGAAUUAAUCCUGGCCUCCAAAAGCUACUUUGAUUUCUUAGGUGUGCCAAAGUCUGCCUCAGAGCGACAAAUCAAAAAGGCCUUACACAAAUUAGCCAUGAAGUACCACCCUGACAAAAAUAAAAGUCCUGAUGCUGAAGCAAAAUUCCGAGAGAUUGCAGAAGCAUAUGAAACGCUCUCGGAUGCCAGUAGUUGGAAAGCGUAUGACACAAUUGGACACAGUGCUUUUACUAAUGGCAAAGGACAAAGAGGCAAUGGAAGUCCUUUUGAACAGUCAUUUAACUUCAAUUUUGAUGACUUAUUUAAAGACUUUAAUUUUUUUGGUCAGAACCAAAACACUCGGUCUAAGAAGCAUUUUGAAAACCACUUCCACACACGCCAGGAUGGUUCCAGUAGACAAAGGCAUCACUUCCAGGAGUUUUCUUUUGGAGGCGGAUUGUUUGAUGAUAUGUUUGAAGACAUGGAAAAAAUGUUUUCUUUUAGUGGCUUUGAUACCACCAAUCGACACACAACUGUAAAUAGAUUUCAUGGAUCUAGCAAGCACUGCAGGACUGUCACUCAACAAAGAGGAAAUAUGGUUACUACAUACACUGAUUGUUCAGGACAACAGUUGAAUCUUUUCCUGUUUCCACUAAGCCCACCUAGUUUAUUCUUCCUUACUAUGUCUGAUGAAAAAAGUUUUCUGUGAACUAUUUUGGUAAAUGCAUGAUUUCACUUAUGUUAAGCUGUUUGUUAUAGGUAUUCCAUAUAUUGAACUUCUUGUUUUUUAAAACAAAUUACAAUACAUUCAGCUAG